CACGUAGGAGGCGAGCGUUAUUCGGAUUUACUGGGUGUAAAGCGCGUGCAGGCGGUUCGGUAAGUUGGAUGUGAAAGCUCCUGGCUUAACUGGGAGAGGUCGUUCAAUACUGUCGGACUUGAGAGCAGUAGAGGGAGAUGGAAUUCCGGGUGUAGUGGUGAAAUGCGUAGAUAUCCGGAGGAACACCAGUGGCGAAAGCGGUCUCCUGGACUGUUUCUGACGCUCAGACGCGAAAGCUAGGGUAGCAAACGGG
rnacentral:rRNA from 1 species